GCUCCAUGCAGGGAGCCCCACGCGGGACUCGACCCCGGGACCCCGUGGUCACGCCCUGAGCGGAAGGUACACGCUCAACAACUGAGCCACCCAGGGGUCCUUGGAUCAAAUUUUCUUUCUGAAUUCCCAGCACAGCCUCUGUAAAACUGGGAAGGAGCUAAGGAAGUCCGCUGUUUUUGGACUCUCCUCUCUGCACCCUUCAUUUCGUUCACAGCCACCCUUCCUCCCGCUGACAUCUGGAGGCCCUUACUCCACAAUGCAAGGAUCCUGAGGAAGCUCAUAAAAACCCCUUAUCCUAAGAAGUUAGGAGUGUGAUUUCCUUCCUCCUGGAGGUUCUUACACACAGUGGAGAGGAGAGAGAGCUCAGCUUUGGAGUUGGAAGGUCCUGACUGUCCAGGUUGCCACAGGCAAUUGAUAUAAUUUUCUUGAGACUCUGUUUCUUCAUCAACAAAAUGAGAACGGUAAUAAUUGUUAUCCUCCAGGCUUGAUGUAAAAAUUGAAUGAGACUGAGAGUGGUCAUAAUGCUUUGUGAUCUGAAAAGUGUUGUGAUUAUUUAUUAGUCUUUUCCUUGGGUUGUAAAUAAAGACCAACUGAGCAAGCCUGAGGAAGGGAUAUUGGGUUUGACUAAUGAGGCCUCAGAUAAGGCAAGAUUGAGGGGUUGUGGGAAAUGAAGAGAGUCUCUCUCUCCCUUUUAACAGAUCCUUCCAGUGCUGACCAAUAUCUGGUUCUGCUCUCCUUCAGAGACAGGAAGUGAAGUUCUGUUUCCUAGCCCUCCUGGCAUCUCGAUUGAACUACCUGAGUUCUGCCCAAUGGAUCAUGGAGAGAAGCGAUAUACCCCUCUUGUAGACCUGGUUACAAAAUGUCCCGUGUGAUUCUUCUGUUCUCUCUCUUCAUGACUGGGAUGGGAUGGGAUGAUGCCAGGGGGAUCUUGAAACUACCAGAUUGUGGAGACACUACAUGGAAUGAAAGAGCCUGGGUCCUGGAAUCACCACCUGGAGAGAGCUGUGCCAGAGAGCUGCAAACCAACAGCACUAACAGUGGACUUUGUGUGAGCAAGAAAUAAACUUUCAUUGUGUUUAUUUAGCCACAGAGAUUUGGGACAGUUUCUUAUAGUAGUCUUCCCUACUACACCAUACCUUGAGCUUGCUUCCCCCUAUCACCCCCCCACCCCCCAUCAUCUGUCUCUCUUGUUGUGUACCAGCUUUCUCUGCUUUCUUAUUCAUGAGGGAAAUUGGCCACCAGCAAUAGCAACCAAGGUGACCUCUCUUCCAUUCAAGAGAACAGCUUGUUGGCAACUAAAAACAUUUAUUUCAUGUUUCAAAUUCCUUUGAGAGAACUGGGUUAAGUCCAGCUCAAAACAGGUGUCAAUCUCUGAACCAUCAAUCUAGGAUAUCUGUGGGAUAAGGAGGGGUAAUUUCCAGAAAAGUGGUGCUUGGCAGCCACUCAAAUCAUGUUUACCCAGUGCCCCAUACUUGCUGUUAAUGUGUUUGGUGGUUUUUUAAAAAAGAUUUUUAUUUAUUUAUUUAUUUAUUUAUUUAUUUAUUUAUUUAUUUAUUUUAGUAAGCAGGAGAUAAUAUCCAACAGACUCUGCGCUGAGCACAGAGCCUGACAGGGCUCGAUCCCAGAACCUUGAGAUCAUGACCUGAGCUGAAACUGAGCCACCCAGGUGCCCCACUGUUAACCUUUUUGAAAAGCAACAUGGGCAGAGCAGAGACAAACUCUUUUUCUUAUAUACUUCCAAAGAAUGAAUCUCUAAGGAUUUGUUUGGCUUCUCAGUCAUCAGGUAACUAAUUUACUUAUUGGGGCUGGGUAGCCUUUCCGAGCUGCCCUCAAACUAUGCAAUGUGACAAUAUCGCCCUUCCAGAGUGGUGAGGCUGCAGUGUUCUGGCCUGUGGGCUACACCAGACAUGCAGGCCAUGAGAACAUCUGCAGUAGGUGAAGGGUGGGAAUCAUUUUCUUGUGCAUUGGACUUCAAGCGUGACGCAGGAAGUCCACAAAGUGAUCUCAGGAUGGUGCUGCAAUGUAUAGUAGAAAAAAUAGAAGUUUGAUUCUCCCAAAAGCAUACAACAAAUAUCACAAAACAAAAAAGUAGCACAGAAAUGUCUGCUUUUCCAUGGAAAUAAUUUUCUAUAUCAUUGUCAGAUCCCACUGCCUAAAAGAUAAAAGUCAAGAUUCAAAGCUUGCUUUGCAAGGCCCUUUGGGAGAGGCUCUCCCCAGUGUGAUCUCCCACUGGGUCCUAUCACAUGCUCCAUCCACAGCCUCUAAGCGGGUUAAACUAUGAGUAUUUCCCUGAAAAGGCCAUGUUCCCCAAAGGCUCAGUUUUCAGGCUCUGCUCCGCUUCUCCCUCUGCUUGAAAUAUCCUUUCUCCCUUAUGAGCAAAGAAUCCUGGCUGAUAUCAGAACUCAGCUCCAGCACACCUUUCAGGACUAGCACACUUAGAAUUACAGUUAGGCUGUGUCUUCUUUGUGCUCUGUUACAACACCUACCGAUGCUUUUUUUUUUUUUUAAUAUCUUUUUCCCUCUAAUUGCAAUAAUCAAAAAAACCCUAACAUUGCGAACUUUGGAAAAUAAACACCAAAAAAGAAAAAGAAAAGAAAAAUCUCCCAUCAUCUCACCCUCCAGGAGUUUUAUGAGAUUGAAUUUGCAGUUGGGAGAAAUUCUCAUGGUCUCUUAAGACUGGACUUACAGAACUCUGGACAGCAAUAGCAAGAAGUAUCAGUCUAUUGCUGAAGAACUAAUAUGACAUGAGAGCAAUCGAUGACAAGCUGAUGAGAAUUAUGAAGUGAAUUACCAAGUGUUAAGUGUUAAAAUCCAUUGGCACUCAGAUGUGGAAGAGAUUUUAGAAACACAUCGCCAGGAAAAAAGCCAUACAGUUCUGCAACCAUUGUCCUCUCCCUGCCUCGCCCAGAGGAUGUGCCUCCUAGGAAGAAUGUUUUGAGGGAAGGCAACCCUUGCUCUCCAUGUGCUGUCAAGAUGAACUGCAACCUUCCGGGAGAGAUCCAUGGGCUCUAAAUUGAAGCUAAGCUGCCACUGUUGGGUGAAUAUUUCCAGGGAACCUGGCCAAGCUGAAGGGAGCAAAGUAUCAAUAGAGCAGUAAUUAGGUCUUAGGACUUUGGGAUAAGACUGACUUAUAUUUGAAUCCUAGCUUUGCCACUUAGCUAGUUAUACCUACUUCAUAAGAUUGUGCAAGAAUUGAAAAAAGCUAAAUAAGAUGAUAUGUAUAAAGAAUGGCCCCAAUUCCUGGAAGUAAAUGUUCAAUAAUUAUUAGCUUAAAAAAUUAAAAUUAGUCCUUGUUGAGGGAAAUUGGAUCAAUCAAACUGGGUCUUGGUGAAUAUGUUAUUUUACAUAAAAACAUGUGUUGUUUUGCAUUCUGUUUAUUCUUACUGUAAAGUUGUGUCUUAUUGGCUAUUUGAUUCACUGACUUCUUAAUUCAGGAACUAUUUAGGGGCAUCUGGUGAGCUCAGUGGGUAGACCGUACGACUCUUGAUUUCAGGGUCAUAGUUUGACCCCCACAUUGGGCAUGGAGAACUAAAAAAUAAUAAAGUAAAAGAACUAUUUAUUGAGCAUCUAUUAUGUGUCAGAUUUCUUUGUAGAUGUUGGAAACACAGCAGCAAACAAGAUGCAAAUGUCCUUGCUCUUAUGGAUAUGCAUGUUAAUGAGGAGAGACCGAAAGUGAAAGAAACAAGUAGGAAGCAAUUAAUAACAAACAAGAAAAUUUACUGAUAGUGAUAAAUGCUAAGGAAAAGAUGAAACAAGGUGAUGUGAUAGAGUCUGAGGGAGCAGUUCUAGAUCAGGUGUUCAGGAGAGGCCUCCCUAGAGAAGUGGCAUUUAAGGUGUCAUCUGAAUAACAAGAUGGAGCAAAGUUCUAGAUGAUGAGGAAGAUGGAGAGGGAUGUGAUUGGGUUUGGAGAUGUGGCGAGAGAAUCAACAGGAUUCAUUGAUGGGUUGGAUGGGAGGUAUGAGGAAAAGAGAGGAAUCAAACAUGACUCCUAUGGCCUUGGCUAAAUGGGGUAGUGGUGCCAUCUACAGAAAUCGAGCAGGUUGGAGAUGAUGUGGCUGAGGAUGAUGUUUAAGAAGAAUCAGAAGUCUGGAUUUGAACAAAUUGAGUUGCCUGUUGAACUCUGAAUGGAGUUUUCAAGCAAACAACCGAGUACAGGAAACCAGAGUUAAACAUUUAGGGUUUUUUUCCUUAGAUAAUAUUUAAUGGAGUGAGCUGGAGGAGUGUACUUAGGGAAAUGAAUAGAGUUAGAAAAGAGAAGAGGUUGUAGGAGUAUUCUUAAAAUGUCAGGUACUUAUGACUCAUAACAAAACUUUAGAAUAAUAAUAUAUAACUCUUGUAGAAUUAUCCACAUAAAAAUGAACUGAAAGGACUUUUUGACUUUCUUACAUUCUUUAAUAUAUAUAAAUGGGGACCAAAAAGAAGUCUGAUUGUAAUACACUGGUCUUAUAAGUAUUCAUUUGACCCAUAUUUUUGAGUGCCUAUUGCAGGCACCAUUUUAUGUACUAUGUAUAAAAUGAAAUCAAAAGAACUAGUUAUGUUGUUGGCCAAACAUAUUUACUGAACACAUGCUGUGUUCAUAGUACUAGAUGAUUUGAUAGAGACCACAAAAAUGGAAAAUCAGUUCUCUGUUCCCAAGAGAAGACAGUCUAAAGCUGCCACUCAAGAGGAGAACCUCUCAAAAGUCAUGAGGAAAGUGUGUUUCCUUUUCCUUCUGCCUAUCUGAUGUUCUUAGGCCAUUGUCUAUUGGGAGAUCUAUGUGGGCCAAAUGAAUUUGGUGAAGUAGGCUAUUGUCUAAAACUCAUUUUGUCAUUGGGAGAACUUCCAUGGGCAGACAGAAGCUCAUUUCAGUCCAUUUCAUACUUGUAGUUGACUGGUACUCCAAGCAUCCCCAGCAUUCAAAUCCUCAUUAUCCAGGGAGAAGAGACAUAAAGAAUCCAUCUAAUGGCGGAUUUCUUUCCCCUGUUAAAUUAAACACAGUCUCCUUGAAGAACAGCUCUAAUGCUUCAAUAUUAAUAUCCACUAUUUGUUCAAAAUUCUAUACUUCCUGUAUAGUUAGUGGAUGAGUUGGAAGUAUGCCCACUUAUCAGUGCAAAUGGGAAGGAAGAGAAGUACCUCUUCUGGGCUAAUGGUUAAAUUUGCCUUAAGAUGCAACUGAAUGUUUUGGCAGAUUGUUGUCAGAAAGAACAGCCUGACAUCAAUUAUGUGGAAAUGAAAAUCAUUAUAUCUAGUAGUCAUUGUCUAAUUUUUAAAUGGACUUUAUGAGGUAAACCCAGUUAAAAGCUUAGUUCAUUCAAAUACUUGGUACCUUUACUGAUAAAUCAUCCUGGCAGAUGAUGAUUGAAGUUCUGCUUGGAAAGAAACACUCUGUAAGAUCCAUGUGAAGGUUUUCUUUUCUUUUUUCUUUUUUUUUUUUUUUUUUGGUGGUCAGUGUGGCCAAUUGGUAAUGGAAAUACUUAGGGUUUUGAGGGGGAAGCGGGGUCAAAUAAUUUCUUGGUGCUUUAUGAUGUCAAAUUCUGUUGUCUCAGCCAAACACUUGGCUAUAUGCUUAAACAGUUUAAAAUGUGUGGUGGUAUUGUUCCUUGAGAAACACCUUGACCCUUUUCCUUGAGGCCAGCAUAGUUUGCUUCUAUGUCAUUUUCCUUGAACAAGAAUAGAAGGUUGGUUACUAAAUUGUUCAUCAUGGAAUGUUUAACUUAACAUUUAACUUAACAUUAACAUAAGUUAAUCACUUAUGUCUGCUAUCCAAAGUGUAUGGAUUUCUCUUCCAUCAAUGGUACAUGAUGUGAGCCCAGUAGAUACUCAGCAGAGAACGUAGCUAUUAAGUUUUGCCAUUCAGAAGACUUAGAUUUGGUUGUUAGCUAGUACUUGACAGUCUAAAUGGCAUUCAUUAUUCAUGUACUAGUUUCUUUAAGUCAUUGCAUUUAGUUAUAUCACCAGAAAGGCAGACCUAGAUGUAUUAUCUUCUGCUUUAUGUUGGGUAAUACCAGGAAGGUACAUUUGAACAACAUUUUGGUAUCUUGUACAAAAUAACACAGGGAAAUCAUGGUAUUAAUUGAUCUAAUGUUCCUUAUAUAAAGAAUCAGAUGAUAAAUUCCUGCUUGCAACCAGCAUUGGAGAAAUGUUAGUCUUUUUAGAUUACAGUGUAUUUUCUGAGAUGGGAACUGCACACUACAAAUGGUUUUUUCUUUUUAUCAUGAAUAUUAUGAAACUCAGAACUUAUUUUAGCAUGCCCUAAUAUCUUUAGGUAUCCUAUUACCUUAAAGUCUUACUGGCUUCUUAUCCAUAUUUUAAAUGUGUACAGUACAGUUUUAUAACUACUUUAAGUUUUUGAAGAAAACUAAGAGAGUUCACCUCCUUUAAGAGGCUUUCUCUGGAGAAUCAGUUGAAAUCAACUCUCCUCCUCUAGCUCCCUGACCAGUUUUUCUUAUCAAAGCACUCUUCACCAUUGUAAUUGUAAUGUACAAUAUACUGUUGUACAAUUGUAUUAUCAUAUUGCAUUAUUGUAUAAUUAUAAUUAUGUUGUAUUAUUGUAUAAUACAAUAAAUACAAUGAUUAUUUUUGUUUGUUUGUUUCCUCUAGACUCUAAGGUUCAUUAAGACAGAGAUCAUAUCUCUUUCAGUAUGUUAGCCCUAGCCAGUCCUAGCACACAGUAAGUGGGUUCAAUAAAAACUUGUCAAAUUCUGAAUAAAUUGUAG